AACCGCAGGGAACUGCUGCUGCUGAUAUAUUUUUAUUUACUGACCUAUAUCACAGUGGCUGUUCUUUUUGGUU
rnacentral:pre_miRNA from 1 species